rnacentral:tRNA from 1 species
UCCUCUGUAGUUCAGUCGGUAGAACGGCGGACUGUUAAACCGCCGUUUUAAGCGGCACGAAAGGAUCAGAAGAA